rnacentral:tRNA from 1 species
GGGUCAUUCGUUCAAUGGUAGGACGGUACUCUUAUAAAGUAUCAACGAUGGUUCGAUUCCAUCAUGACCCA